CCAUUGGUGGUUCAGUGGUAGAAUUCUCACCUUCCAUGCGGGAGACCUGGGUUCAAUUCCCAACCAGUGUA
rnacentral:tRNA from 1 species